CCCCUCUCUGGGUUACACCUGGACAGUUUCUAGUACUCUACCAGCCUUGGCUAUGUGAGAGAGAGUCAAGCAGAGGCAUAUCCGUUCCAUUCCUAGCUUGGGCAGUGGCUAGUGAGUGGAAGGCAAUCUGUUACAAGG